AGGGAAGGAAAUCUACUAUCCUUACCUGGUCUGGCUGAUAUGUGAAAAUUGCUGGAGCACAAUUUCUCAAACAGAUGAAGACUUUUCCUCAGCAAGAAUCACAACUGUUCAAUGAGGGAGUUUGUCAUUUGGCUUUUUAAGGGAGUAAAUUUUAGAAGUCCCUGGAUGAACACCACGGAUUUCUGAAUGACAUUUUAGCUAAAUGCUUGCAUACUAUCAUGACAAGGUGGCCUGUGGAUUGAUGGGGUCCAAUAUUAAUUGAUGGACUGUUAAUAUGAUGAAAGUUUCUGAGGGGACAGAGGUUGGAAUUGUUUGAUCAGAAUCUGUGCUCAGAACUGAAGCAACAAAUUUUAACUUCUGGGCAUUACACUGUGGAUGUGAUAUGCACUCACAGGACUCAAUGUCAACUCUUAAUUCAAAGGGACAAGAAACCAGUAAAGCAGAUGGUUGUCAUGGUAGAUGCUGACUCAGAAGUAAAGAAAGUGAGCAGACCCAGUAAUGCAUCUCUGUUAAGAGCAGAAAGAAUGAACAGUUUCCCAGUGGUGAGAGAAAGAAACCUGAUGUAAUCACUGAAACACCUAAAACAUUAAAAUACAUGUUUUUCUGGGCA